rnacentral:rRNA from 1 species
UACGUAGGGUGCGAGCGUUGUCCGGAAUUAUUGGGCGUAAAGAGCUCGUAGGCGGUGUGUCACGUCGGCCGUGAAAACCUGCAGCUUAACUGUGGGCGUGCGGUCGAUACGGGCAUCACUGGAGUUCGGCAGGGGAGACUGGAAUUCCUGGUGUAGCGGUGAAAUGCGCAGAUAUCAGGAAGAACACCCGUGGCUAAGGCGGCUCUCUAGUACGGUACUGACGCUGAGAUGCGAAAGCGUGGGGAGCGAACAGG